rnacentral:lncRNA from 1 species
CCCCGGCCUCGCUGGGUUCUGUGCUUUCUCGAACCUGGACUGCGGGUCCUACCGUUUUCUGUCUAGCGCGCCAUUCACCAGGUGGUUUCGAAACAGGUUGGGCACAAAUUGUUUUGGUUAGUGAUCCCGACCUCCUCUCAGUCCAGAGCACCGAGGGUUAGCACCUCGCCAGUGGGAAGGAGCGCCCUAAUUCAGUUACUAGUGUCGUGUUUCAGUUCAGCCCACACAAACCGCUGCCCUUUUGCCCCACACCCCUCCUCCCAUGGUGGCUGUCACAGGGCUUUCCUCGGCAUAGUUUCAAGCCGUAGCCUAGCGUUUUGUGUUAAGAGGCAGACAAGCAGGUUUACGAGGAUAUUUUUCUUUUUACUCCUAGAGGAGGUGGAAGGCAUCCAUUAUUCCCCGGAGCAGCCCUCCUUUUGGAUCUUUGUUCAGCAAAUAGAUAAAACAUUAAAAGAAAAAAUCGCACUUCCUUCAGUCGUUUGGACUCUGUUUCAACACGACUGUCAAGACCAUUUCACUCCGUGGUGUUACUUAACAUGCUUGAGCAAUUACCACGUUGGUAGAGUCUUCGACUCAUCAGCCCACUGCUGAAUUAUCUUAGAUUUUUGUAAUUUGUAAACCACCUAAAGGUUAUAGUAUAUCUCCAUAAGAAACCAAUCGUUUUUGGCAGCAGACACCAGAUGGGCAUCUUCCAAUUCAAUUCUGACACUUACCUGAAGAUAGCAUCAGAUGCUAUAGAUUAAGGAACUCAGGCUUACAGACUGCUUCUCAUUUCAG